AUGGAGGCUCCCCAAGCGGAGGGGUCUCCUCAGGAGGAGGGGGGCGCUUGGCUCUGGUGGGAAAGCCUUCCCGCUCCCCUUAGCUACUUAGUUACCACCACCCUUGAUUACUUUUGGUCCUUUGUCAACCCUCCCUUGGGAUCGUGGUCUCCCGCCCAGAUUGCAAGUCCAUCCUCACCUCCUGCGGCCCAGGCCCAAGCGAUGCAAGAAAAUGAGCCACUGAAUGAGGAGAAUCCGCAGAUAAAUGAACAGCUCCAGGAAGCAGAGACAGAGAAGACAGAGUGGGUUAAGGUGCUGAAAGAUGUCACCAUCCAAGUCCGUGUCACUGGGCGGACUGGCGACUGCGAGAAGGACUUCCUAAAGGACGUUGCUGACCACCUUUUCAGACAUGACAUCAACCUCAAGACAGAGGAUUACCAAGAGGACUCCGGCCACUUCCUGCUGGUCUUCUGCCCGGUGGUCUCCCGGAUGGGCACCGACAUGCAGAAUGCUAUGGAAGGCCUCCAAGGUGAGCCAAAGGCCAUCUUGGUGAUGCUGCAUCACAGACCGAAAGAAUACAACUACUUUGUGGACACCAAGCUGCAGGCGCAUCACCCGGCCGUGGUGCACAUCGCCCAUGCCCGGUAUACGCUCGAAGACGGCCUCUAUGACUGCCCGAUGAACAAGGAGGCUGUGGACGCUGUGGCCAAAGUCCUCAAAGACCACUUCAAAGAGGUGCAAGAGGACCCUGUGACCCCCGACUCUGCAACGGAAUGUGAACUGAAUCGCUGCCAGGAGUCUCAUGUCUGAGAGAAAGACAGAAGGAAAGGAUAAAAUUGUUACUACAGUUGGCUCUCUGUAUCCACAGUUUCCGUGUCUUAGAACACCUACAUCUAUUUAAGUAUCUAUAUGUAGCUCUCUAGCUAUACAAUAAAAAUAGGAAAUAGGUCUAGGUGUAUUUUCUAGACAUGCUCCCACAUCCAGAGAGCUCUGUGAAUCCCACCAACAAUGGAUCUGGACCAAACUUGGCACACAGACCCAUUGUGACCAACUUAAAAUACAGGUUGGGUUGGGAAUUGACUGAGGUUGAUGGGAGUUGUAGUCCACACACAUCCAGAGAGUCGAAUAAGUUCCACUAAUGAUGGAUCUGGAUUAACUUGACACACAGACACACAUCUCCCCUAAUGACCAAUAGAAAAUACUGGUUUGGAGGAGAUGAACCUUGGAUGAUGGGAGUUGCAGUCAACCCACAUAAAGAGAGCACUGUGAAUCCCACCAAUAAUGGAUCUGGACCAAACUUGGCACACAGACCCAUUGUGACCAACUUAAAAUAUAGGUUGGGUUGGGAAUUGACUGAGGUUGAUGGGAGUUGUAGUCCACACACAUCCAGAGAGUCGAGUGAGUUCCACUGAUGAUGGAUCUGGAUUAACCUGACACAGACACACAUCUCCCCUAACUACCAAUAGAAAAUACUGGAAAACCUUGGAUGAUGGGAGUUGCAGUCAACCCACAUAAAGAGAGCACUGUGAAUCCCAUCAAUGAUGGAUCUGGACCAACCUUGGACCCAUCAUGACCAACCUAAAAUACUGGUAGGUUUGGGGAGAAUUGACUUAAUGUCAUGGGAGUUAUAAUCCAUCCACAUCCAGAAAGUCAGGUGAGUCCUACUGAUGAUGGAUCCAGACUAACCUGACACAGACACACACUUCUCCCCUAAUGACCAAUAGAAAAUACUGUUGGGGUUUGGAGGGGAUGGACCUUGCAUGAUGGGAGUUGCAGUUUAUCCACAUAAACAGCACUGUGAAUCCCACCAAUGAUGGAUCUGGACCACCUUUGGCACACAAACCCAUCAUGACCAACUUAAAAUACUGGUAGGGUUGAGGGGAAUUAAGGGGAUGAUGGGAGUUGUAGUCCACCCACAUCCAGAAAGUUGAAUGAAUCCCACUGAUGAUGCAUCUGGUCUAACCUGGCACACAUACCCUUCAUGAACAACUUAAAAUAAUGGCAGGUUUGGGGGUAUUGGUAGAGGAUGAUGGAAAUUGUAGUCCUCACAUCCAGAGAGCCACAUCAUGGCCCUAGUCAACAAUUUUGGACCAACCUGGCACACACACCCAUUGCAACCAAUUUAAAAUAUUGGCACAGUUUCAGGGGCAUUGACAGGAUGAUGGGAAAUGUAGUUCACACAUAUCUGGAGAGUUGUGUCAGUCCCAACAAUGAUGACCCUGGACCAAACCUGGCAAACAACAUACCCUUCAUAGUCUCACUUUAAUUGCUGGUGAGGUCAAGGGGGCACGGUCGUGGAUGACUGGGCAAUGCUGCGUCUGGAGGUCCCUCUGUAGACUUGUCCACAGCUGCAUGGGAUCCGGUAGACUCCUGCAGAGGAGAGAGGAUCCCUCUUGUCCUUCGCUGACCGUAGCAUUUGUUGGAUUUUCUUUGUGGGUCUGUAGAUGGUUUGUAGAUUGUGCGUCUUCAUCAGCUUGCCUAUGCGGUCAGUGGUUCCCUAGUCUUUCCACAGAUAUAUAUUAACUUCUUUGCUUAGUUUUCUCCAUACCUCACAACCUCUGAGGAUGCCUGCCAUAGAUGUGGGUG
ensembl:lncRNA